rnacentral:rRNA from 1 species
CCUACGGGGGACAGCAGUGGGGAAUUUUGGACAAUGGGCGCAAGCCUGAUCCAGCUAUUCCGCGUGUGGGAAGACGGCCUUCGGGUUGUAAACCACUUUUGUAGAGAACGAAAAGUCUAUUGAUAAUACCGAUAGAUGAUGACGGUACUCUAAGAAUAAGCACCGGCUAACUACGUGCCAGCAGCCGCGGUAAUACGUAGGGUGCGAGCGUUAAUCGGAAUUACUGGGCGUAAAGGGUGUGCGGGCGGUUUUGCAAGAUGGAUGUGAAAGCCCCGGGCUUAACCUGGGAAAGCCAUACAUGACUGCAAGACUAGAGUGCGUCAGAGGGGGGUGGAAUUCCGAGUGUAGCAGUGAAAUGCGUAGAUAUUUGGAAGAACACCGAUGGCGAAGGCAGCCCCCUGGGACGCAACUGACGCUCAUACACGAAAGCGUGGGGAGCAAACAGGAUUAGAUACCCGGGUAGUC